rnacentral:sRNA from 1 species
ACCGCUGAGCCAUCUCUCCAGCCCUUAAGUCAAUGUCUUAACUAUAUUCCCCUGUAAAUAUUAAAACUCAGGUUACACAUGUAGAAAAUGCAAUGGCAUGGUAUGUAAACAGGAAUAACGAGUACAUAGAAAGUUAAGAUGAGGCCAAGCAAAGCAGGUUCCUGACCAGUACCUGGGGCAGCUACUGAGUUUCGCCAGGCUUAGGUAGCUCUACUCAUGAAGCUGUGUUGCCUCUGGGGUAUAUAGCCACUGUCUCAACUCCAAGUCUUCAUCUACUCCUGACAAGUACCCCAUGUUCCCAGCAUCUACAAUACACUUGACUUUCUAUACAAGUUAGGCUUCCUGUGCGCAGAUAGCAUAAACAGAGUACUCAGUUUUUGUUUGUUUGUUUGUUUUUUCUUCGGAGCUGGGGACCGAACCCAGGGCCUUGCGCUUCCUAGGCAAGCGCUCUACCACUGAGCUAAAUCCCCAACCCAACAGAGUACUCAGAAGGUCCAUGCAGGCACUCUAAUCCUUUAGCAUAUUGCCUUUCCUCAACUGUUGUCUGGAACCGUGGCUCUUCCAUGACCUGACAUCGAUCUCUUAUUUUGCCUGCCUGCAAAGAUGCUGGAAAACCAGUACAGCAUGGAGGAUGGCAGCAUAAGCAGGAAACUCCAGAUGAAGUAUAGCCCCUGGCUACCACGGAUAUGAUGCUUCUCUCUGUGUGCCUUCGCUGUGUGUGCCUAUCAGCCGUAGGUAGUUGUCUUUGAGCAGGGACCUCCUUCAGUAUCAGUUUGAGUCAGGUUCUUUCUUUACAGAUACAUUAACAUGUUUUGAGCUAGAGCUUUAAAGUGCUCUCCAUUAAAUACAUCCUCCUUAAAUACAUCUCAGUGCUAAGUGUAAGGUUUCUUAAUCAAGUUAGUAUGUUCAAUAAUUAUAAUUUGCUUGUCUUUACCUGCCCUGCUCACAACAUUGUUUUCAAGCUACUUUCCUCUUCAAGCUACACAUUUCAAACCCUUUGUUCUUAUUUUUAUAAAUCUGACCAAGAGCAGAAAGUAAUAAUUGUGCCAGGCUCAGAUGUUAUA